AGUGGCUCCCAAAGAGCAAGAGCCUCAACCCAGCCCCUAGCUGCUUCUGCCACCUGUAGCUGCCUAGGGGUAACAGAAAGUCAUCCAGUGUCACCUAAACCCUGGCAGGGCCUGUCUGGGGCACCACUGGUGUACAAGCCCUCCCCACCUAUGAGAACUGGGUCAGCAGCUUGGACUGGCAGGUCUAUUUUGCAGAGGAGCCAGAGCCCGAGGCCGAGACUGGAAGCUGCCUGGCCAACAUGAGCAAACCAGGCGGCUGUUGAGAGGUGGCUCUG